GCAAAUCGUGCAUCUGACGGCCAGGGACAACCAAGAUGUGGGAUCCAAUGGCCAAAAAUGUUCAGGUCAUUAGAAGCCUCGGUUUAGGUUCGGUUAUACUGUCUUAAAUAACAUCCUGUGACGGUUGUCGAAUCACAGUAUACCGACUGAAGACUUGACAACUCAUAGCCUCAUAGCCAUAUGACAAAUUUGAGUUUGUGUGGAGUGUGUGGAAGAAUAAAAACGACAUGAUGAUGCAAAAACGACCGACAUCACUCCACACUUCUAGCCCCAAACCUGUGGGAGUUAACACUACAACCUCAGGUAAUGGGCUGCGGGUCCAAGCCCGGCCAAAAGUAUGUAGUGAAUGUUUUUUUUUUGCCUCGGCAGACCUACCUAAUGGACCAGGUUAGGAUGCGUCGUCGGCGAGUGCCACAGUGGAUACAUGCUAUUUAAGCUGGAAAAUAAGUUCUGAGAGAUGGAGCUGAAAAAUAAGUUCUAUGCCGGACGA
rnacentral:lncRNA from 1 species